GACGAACGCUGGCGGCGUGCUUAACACAUGCAAGUCGAACGGAAAGGCCCUGCUUUUGUGGGGUGCUCGAGUGGCGAACGGGUGAGUAACACGUGAGUAACCUGCCCUUGACUUUGGGAUAACUUCAGGAAACUGGGGCUAAUACCGGAUAGGAGCUCCUGCUGCAUGGUGGGGGUUGGAAAGUUUCGGCGGUUGGGGAUGGACUCGCGGCUUAUCAGCUUGUUGGUGGGGUAGUGGCUUACCAAGGCUUUGACGGGUAGCCGGCCUGAGAGGGUGACCGGCCACAUUGGGACUGAGAUACGGCCCAGACUCCUACGGGAGGCAGCAGUGGGGAAUAUUGCACAAUGGGCGGAAGCCUGAUGCAGCAACGCCGGGUGCGGGAUGACGGCCUUCGGGUUGUAAACCGCUUUCGCCUGUUACGAAGCGUGAGUGACGGUAAUGGGUAAAGAAGCACCGGCUAACUACGUG
rnacentral:rRNA from 1 species